rnacentral:rRNA from 1 species
GACGAACGCUGGCGGCGUGCCUAAUACAUGCAAGUAGGACGCAGUUGCGAACGGGAGAGUAACGCGUAGGUAACUACCUAUUAGAGGGGGAUAACUAUUGGAAACGAUAGCUAAUACCGCAUACUAGUAGAUGGACCUGCGUUGUAUUAGCUAGUAGGUAGGGUAAUGGCCUACAUAGGCCACGCUACAUAGCCGACCUUAGAGGGUGAUCGGCCAGACUGUGACGGAGAUACGGCCCAGAGUCCUACGGGAGGCAGCAGGAGGGAAGCUUCGGCAAUGGGGGGAACCCGGACCGGGCAUCGCCGCGUGAGUGAAGUGGGUUUUCGGAUCGUAAAGCUCGGUUGUUAAGGAAGCGGUACUUAACCAGAAAGGGACGGCUAACUACGUGCCAGCAGCCGCGGUAAUAC